GCGCCUAGGGGCGGGGGCUGGGAACGCCCCGCCGGAGUGGGCUGGGGGGUUGGUCCCCGGCUCUUUCUCGGCGGUUGUUUCCACUAGGCUGGGCCGUGCGGGAUGGGAAGUUUUAUUGAGAUAUAAUUGACAUACGGCACUGUAUAACCAAUCAAGGUUUUACACAACGCAGAGUACUAAGGAUCACGGCCCCAAUUAAGAUUUUAAACUGGGAAAGUUCUGGACAGAACAUUUCCUUGGCUGCUAGGAAGCUCAGACUGACUUUGAAACCCACCUUUGGCAAAAUAAACAAAGAUCUCUGCAGUCACUUCAAGCAUUUUUGCACCAAUAGAUUAAGAAAGGUGAACAGAUGUGCAUCAAAAGAUUUAGCUCCUGGCUCACUGCUGCUCUCUCUAACACUGCUCCUGUCAUGAUUCCUGGGAUGCCCUUGCUUCCUAGCCACCGAGAAAACUUCAGCAAACAGGAGAACUUCCAUAACUCACCUGCCACAUCCCAGCUACCAGCCCUGUACUCGAAUCCUCUGCCUCCGUCCUGUUCCUACAAUGGAUCCUAACCCCCGGCACCUAUUCAGAAACCGGCCUCUGGCAGUUCCUCCCUUUCUGUCCCUGCUUUUCCCUGGAUUGUUCCCAUCAACACACAAAUAAAUAUGCGGUCGUUUCUCCCAUCUUAAAAACCUGCUCUUUACCCCGACUCCCUUUCCAACUACUGCUGUUUUCCUUCCUUUACAACAAAACUGAAAGAUUUGUCUAUAGUUACUAUUUCCAAUUACUCUUCUCAUUCUUUUUUUUUUGAGCUCUAAUUCACAUACCAUAAAAAUC